rfam:Schistosoma margrebowiei strain Zambia genome assembly, scaffold: SMRZ_contig0000704
ACCCAGCUGACGAGUCCCAAAUAAAACGAAACGUGCAUCCUGGAU